GGGGACGAGUGGAUUCGACAGGAGGAGCUCUUGGAGGAUCGCAUGCCGAGGCGCCAUUAACCUCGUAAAUCCAAUGGCAAAAAAUUAACUGGCGAACGUGAAUUCGCUUUAGCUGCCUAAUAUAGGCAGCUCGUCUGUCCUUGCAAUCCUCGGGUGUGAGGUGCCAGGCGCAAUAAUGCCGAGGUGCUACCCUUCUGAAUCCGAUAAGGAAUGGUCUAAGAAAACAUCGGAUAGCUUUUAGGAACGGUGCUGGUCAGUAGCCUGAAAUGCAAAAAUUAAAGACUAGCUAAGCAUGUAGCAUAUUUUCGCUCGACUUUUCUUGGACGGGGAGUUCGACUCUCCCCCGUCUCCACCA
rnacentral:tmRNA from 1 species